rnacentral:misc_RNA from 1 species
GUCUUGCUUAAACCUCAGCCUUAAGCUUCCACCUGCCAAGAAAGCAUGGCAGAGCUUCACCUCCAAGCUGCUUCGUAAACCCCAGAACUCCAGGGCUUUCAAGAAGUCUAAAUAUCCAUCCGCAAAACCCAUUUUCUUCCAGCAGCAUGAUCAGAGCAAAUCAAGACGGCUUUUCUUCCGUCCCUCUAAGUAUACUCUUCCUUUCAAACGACGUAGAAGCUGCCUCCUUUCGAAGAAAAAAACUGCGCCUGUGUAUAUUGACAAGCUCUUUCGAGAGUCUGUUGCUAAUGAGUUGGUGGCUCAGUGUCCGCCAAGCACUAAGACUUUAAAGUUACUGGACGACCAGCAGGCUGUGAUACGGUCGACGGAGGCAGAAACGAGCAGAGAAGAUGGAAAAGGAGGUGAAAAAGCUAUUGCAGCGGAUGAUAUGUGGGAGUCAUUGGGAUUCGCNNNUGGGAUUCGCAUCUCCUCAAAUGAGAGGAAUAGAUGAAAGUGCUGAGCGAUUCAUUGCAAGUUUCCGGGCAGAUAUGGAGGUUCAGGAGAUGAUAGCGCGCGGUUAUAAUUCACCGUCAAGGAAAUUCCUAUAGACAUCAAAGUAAGAAAGUUUGCCUUGGAUUUUUGUAUAACCUAGAGAUCUAAAGAGUUAGGAAAUGUAUUGAGAGAUGAAGGCGUUUUGAGGACUCAUUGUUGAUGUUCCUGAUGAUAUGCGGUUCAUGUAAAUUCUUGAAUAUCCAAAUAAUAGAUUUGUGAUUUCUUUUGCAAACUUUCUUACUUUGAUGUCUAUAGG